GGAAGCUGAGCUGUCCACGGGGACAGGCCUCGUUGCUAGCGAACCGCGAGGUGUGGGGUUCGACUCCUCCAGCUUCCGCCA
rnacentral:tRNA from 1 species